UACAGAGGUCCCGAGCGUUGUUCGGAUUCAUUGGGCGUAAAGGGUGCGUAGGCGGCGGGGCAAGUCUGAUGUGAAAUCUCGGAGCUUAACUCCGAAACUGCAUUCGAUACUGCCGUGCUUGAGGACUGGAGAGGAGACUGGAAUUUACGGUGUAGCGGUGAAAUGCGUAGAUAUCGUAAGGAAGACCAGUGGCGAAGGCGGGUCUCUGGA
rnacentral:rRNA from 1 species